CAGAUCCAACAGCAACUUUCCUGACGUAAUUGGUUAUUUCUUGGGGGUCCAUACGUCACGACAUCUGGAAACAUAUGUUCCGGCUCCUCAUAGCUCUGCCUCA